rnacentral:rRNA from 1 species
GACGAACCGUCCAAACGUUGUUCGGAAUCACUGGGCUUAAAGGGCGCGUAGGCGGGUUCCCAAGUCGGUGGUGAAAUCUUUCGGCCCAACCGGAAAAGUGCCGCCGAUACUGGGGACCUCGAGGGAGGUAGGGGUCGAGGGAACUUCCGGUGGAGCGGUGAAAUGCGUAGAUAUCGGAAGGAACGCCGGUGGCGAAAGCGCUCGACUGGACCUCUUCUGACGCUCAUGCACGAAAGCGUGGGGAGCAAACAGG